AUGUUUAUUUUCUUGGCAGGAGUUCAGUCUGGUGAAAUGUCACCAGAUGAGACUUCAGUUCCUGGACGGUGCCGGACCAUCAGUGAGGACCUUUCCCAAGAUGAAAGCCCAACCCGAGGAAGCUCAGUCCGCUCCCCCAUCCGCUGCAUUUCACCCGAGUUGGCCAAUACGAUUGCUUUGAACCCUGGGGGGCGCCCAAGGAGUAGCACGUCUCCGUGGCUCCCUCCUCCUGCAGAGAAUGGGAGGCUGGAAAGUCGAUCUCCACCAGGACUGGCCAAAACACCACUGUCCUUCCUGGGCUUGAAACCCCACAACCCUGCUGAGAUACUGCUCAACCAGACAGGUUCAGAGCCUCGUAGCUAUGUGGAGUCUGUGGCCAAAGCAGCUGCAGGUGGGCUGCCAGCGUCGCCUGUGUCUCCAACAUAUGACAGCAACAGCUUUGCACGUCCUGUCGGGCCGUCCCAUGCCUACAACGCUCCUCUUUCCUCCAGCAUGUCCACUACCCUCAUUGAAAGCACAUUGACUGACAGCGGGGUUGGGUUGAAUUCUUUGUCCCAGGCUGCUGUCGACUCUAUCCUUCACUCCCAGCCCUCCGAAAGCACAUACCAAACACCUACACCCUCUUACCCCACCUCUAGCAGCAUGUUGGGUGGCUACAUCACUCCUGAUAUCAGCCCCUCUCUGCCAGAGACCAUGCAAAAUAACGCCACCACCAUCCAGCCACUCGCCGGAAGCCCUGGCACAAGACACCAAGCCGUCCUGCCCGACAUGAUGUCCGCUCCCGGUCUCCAGCACAGAAUACCUAAUCAGGAUGUCCCCAUUCUGGCCCAACAACCAACCCCGGCCAAUGGUCAUCUGCCUGGAAUGGCCGGUAGUCCCAUGCAAGGAAGACAUGCAAUGGUGUCUCAAGGAACGCAGAGCAGUCCGAUGCUGUCCAGACAGUAUCCUGUCACCUAUGGGACUCAGAGUAGUCCGAUUCUCAGCAGACAACCUAUGGGACAAGCCGUCCAGAGCAGCCCCGUCCUCAACCAACAGGUGUCCCUAAAUCAACCAAUCAUUCUGCCUAACCAAAGCAGCCCGGUGUUGAGUAGACAGCCAUCCGUUAGCCAACCCAACCAGGGCAGCCCCGUCCUGAGCAGGCAAUCCCCACUUACACAUCCCAGUCAGGGCAGCCCCGUUCUGGGAUGCCAUCCGUCCCUAAUGCAGGGUAGCCCCAGUCUGGACAGGCACCCAAUGUACAGUGGUUACACUACUCCAGAAGAGCGACACGGAGCCCUUUCGCGCCAGAGCAGCUCCUCUGGAUACCAGCCACCAUCUACACCUUCUUUCCCAGUCUCUCCGGCUGGAUACAUAGAUGGAGUGGGAUUCAGACAGGGCAGUCCUGCCCCCCAACCUCAGCUCCCCGAAAAGAGACGUAUGUCCAGCAGCGAUCGCUCUACUGGUGGACUGUCCUACGGAACGCUCAACGGGAAGAUGUCCUCGCCAGUGUCCAGUGGUGGCAGCACUCCAAGCGCUCAUUUCUUCCACACGCUCCCUGAUUUCUCCAAACUCAACAUGUGCGAAGGAAGUCCAGAGACCAGUCUGCACGUGAAGUUUGUCCAGGACACGUCCAAAUUCUGGUAUAAACCAGAUAUCUCCAGAGACCAAGCCAUCAACAUGCUGAAAGAUCAAGAGCCUGGAGCCUUUGUCAUUCGGGACAGUCAUUCAUUCAGAGGGGCCUACGGCUUGGCCAUGAAAGUUGCCUCACCACCUCCGACUGUGCAACCUACAAAGAAAGCUGGAGAUGUCACUAAUGAGCUGGUGAGACAUUUCCUGAUUGAGACGAGUCCGAAAGGCGUGAGACUGAAGGGCUGCCCUAACGAGCUGUACUUUGGCUGCCUGUCUGCACUGGUCUACCAGCACUCAAUCACUCCACUGGCUCUACCCUGCAAACUAGUCAUACCAACCAGAGAUCCUCUAGAGGACUCUCCUGUGAUCGCAACACCAACUAACCCAGCGGCAGAGAUGCUCAAACAGGGUGCAGCAUGCAAUGUCCUGUACAUAAACUCGGUGGAUAUGGAGUCUCUGACUGGGCCUCAGGCCAUCGCCAAGGCCAUCUCAGAAACCAUGGUAGCCAGUCCCGCACCUUCAGCCACUAUUGUUCACUUUAAGGUGUCGGCACAAGGCAUCACUCUCACUGACAACCAGAGAAAGCUUUUCUUCAGACGUCAUUAUCCCAUCAGUACGGUCACGUUCUGUGACAUUGAUCCACAGGAGAGGAAGUGGAGCAAAUCAGAAGGUGGCACUGCAAAGUUCUUUGGUUUUGUGGCCAGAAAGCAAGGCAGCACGACAGACAACGUCAGUCACCUGUUCGCCGAGAUGGAUCCCAAUCAACCGGCCACGGCCAUCGUCAGCUUUGUCUCUAAAGUGAUGACCAACUCUCAGAAGCAGUGAACUCUUCACGCAGCGUUGCUUUCUGGAGGACUUUCAUUUUGCUCUGUUUGAAUUCUUUUUAAGUUUCUGUUUUUCGUUCUGUAUGUUUGGGUGAGAGGCUGUGUGUAUGUGUGAGGAAGGGUUAUUUGGAUGGCAGUGAGGAAGAGGGACAGAGGAAGUGCAGUGUGGGCGUAGAGGUAAAUGUAUGUUGGUGUAUUUUGUUGCUUUGUUUUUUUUUAAAGAAAAAGGACAAGAAAAGUAAAAAAAAAAAAAAAAAAGUUGAUGAGGGGGGCUGAAAUGUGGGGCUGGUGUACCAAAGAUAAGAGAGCAGUAAUCAUUAAUCAAGCAUCCUUGUAUAUCUUGGUAAACCACGGCUGCUUUGUCAAAAACUGUACAUAUGAACUGAAGCAUCACCUCUUUUCCUUCUGUUUAAAACAUUAUUCAACAGCUGACUGUCCCAAACUAAUGUC
rnacentral:lncRNA from 1 species